GUCAAACCUUUUAAGGGCUAAUGAUGGAUCCCUAGGUAUUCAGAGGCGAUGAAGGGCGUGCACAGCGACGAAAUGUCUUAACGAGCCGCAUGGUGGCAAUGACUUAAGAAUUCCCGAAUAGGAUAACCUCUUAGAACGACUAAUUUAAUUCAUAAGAUUAGAACGACGCAAGCUGGUGAACUGAAACAUCUUAGUAACCAGACGAAAAAAAAGCAAAAGCGAUUCCCCAAGUAGCGGUGAGCGAAACGGGAACAGCCCAAACCAAUUUGUUAAAAAUUGGGGUUGUGGGUUAAUUAAAUAAAUAUUUAGAAAAAAAAGAAAAUGAAUUAGUUGAAUGCUAAACCAAAGAUGGUGAAAGUCCAGUAAUUUUUUUAUAAACGUAAAUAUAAAUUAACCCGAGUAGCAUGAAACUCGUGGAAUUUCGUGUGAAACUGCGAGGACCACCUCGUAAGGCUAAAUACUACUGAAUAACCGAUAGCGCAUAGUACCGUGAGGGAAAGGUGAAAAGAACCCCAGUAGGGGAGUGAAAUAGAACAUGAAAUCAUUAGCUUACAAGCAGUAGGAGAUGUUUAAUACAUUGACUGCGUGCCUGUUGAAGAAUGAGCCGGCGACUUAUAGGCGGUGGCAAGGUUAAAGGUAUUACCCUGGAGCCGAAGCGAAAGCAAGUCUUAAUAGGGCUUUAAGUCACCGUUUAUAGACCCGAACCCAAGUGAUCUAACCAUGGUCAGGUUGAAGCUUCGGUAACACGAAGUGGAGGACCGAACCGACCGAUGUUGAAAAAUCGGCGGAUGAACUGUGGUUAGGGGUGAAAUACCAAUCGAACUUGGAGCUAGCUGGUUCUCUCCGAAAUGCGUUGAGGCGCAGCGAUUAAUAACGGGCUGUCAGGGGUAAAGCACUGUUUCGGUGCGGGUUGCGAGAGCGAUACCAAAUCGUAGCAAACUAAGAAUACUGUACAAGCUUUCUAUUAAUCAGUGAGACUACGGGGGAUAAGCUCCGUUGUCGAAAGGGAAACAGCCCAGACCAUCAGCUAAGGCCCCUAAAUGAUUACUAAGUGAUAAAGGAGGUAGAGAUGCGUAAACAACCAGAAGGUUUGCCUAGAAGCAGCCAUCCUUGAAAGAGUGCGUAACAGCUCACUGGUCUAGCGUCUCCGCGCCGAAAAUGCACGGGACUAAGUAAUCUGCCGAAGCUAUGGGAUUCUUUAAAUUAAAGAAUCGGUAGGAGAGCGUUCUGUUUUAGGGCGAAGUUAAAACGUGAGUUUUAGUGGACGAAACAGAAGUGAGAAUGUCGGCUUGAGUAACGAAAACACUGGUGAGAAUCCAGUGCCCCGAAAACCUAAGGGUUCCCCCACAAGGCUCGUCCGGGGGGGGUGAGUCAGGACCUAAGAUGAGGCCGAAGGGCGUAAUCGAUGGAAAGCAGGUCAAUAUUCCUGCACUACAUAAAAAUUGGCACCAGGGGACAGAGUAAAAUCAAAGAUUAGACAAUAGGGUUGUUCUAAUUAAGUUAAGUUAAAUUGGUGGACGAAAAAAUACCAGUAAUUUAAAUAGCUUUUAAAUUUUGACUAUAUUCUCUAGAAAAGCCUGUACUGCUUUGGCGAAAGCGCCAGAAAUCUUUAUGUACCUGUACCCAGAACCGACACAGGUGGGUAAGUAGAGAAUACUAAGGGGUGCGAGAUAACUCUCUCUAAGGAACUCGGCAAAAUGGCCCCGUAACUUCGGGAGAAGGGGUACCUACGAGAGUAGGUCGCAGUGACCAGGCCCAAGCGACUGUUUAUCAAAAACACAGGUCUCCGCAAAGUCGUAAGACAACGUAUGGGGGCUGACGCCUGCCCAGUGCCGGAAGGUUAAAGAAGUUGGUUAACUUAGGUGAAGCUAACGACUGAAGCCCCGGUGAACGGCGGCCGUAACUAUAACGGUCCUAAGGUAGCGAAAUUCCUUGUCGGGUAAGUUCCGACCCGCACGAAAGGCGUAACGAUUUGGGCACUGUCUCGGAGAGAGACUCGGUGAAAUAGACUUGUCCGUGAAGAUGCGGACUACCUGCACCUGGACAGAAAGACCCUAUGAAGCUUUACUAUAACUUGAGGCUGGGUUUGGACUUAUUUUGCGCAGUAUAGGUGGGAGGCUUUGAUAAAAAGGUUUCGGCCUUUUUUGAGCCAUCAAUGAGAUACCACUCUUGAUAAGUUAAAAUCCUAAAAGUAACCCCUGAAGCGGGGUACUUGAUAACCUCAGGUGGGUAGUUUGACUGGGGCGGUCGCCUCCUAAAGAGUAACGGAGGCGUACAAAGGUUCCCUCAGGCUGGAUGGAAAUCAGUCGUAGAGUAUAAAGGCAGAAGGGAGCUUGACUGCGAGACCUACAAGUCGAGCAGGGACGAAAGUCGGUCUUAGUGAUCCGACGGUACCGUGUGGAAGGGCCGUCGCUCAACGGAUAAAAGUUACUCUAGGGAUAACAGGCUGAUCUCCCCCAAGAGUUCACAUCGACGGGGAGGUUUGGCACCUCGAUGUCGGCUUAUCGCAACCUGGGGCGGAAGGGCGUCCCAAGGGUUGGGCUGUUCGCCCAUGAAAGCGGUACAUGAGCUGGGUUCAGAACGUCGUGAGACAGUUCGGUCCAUAUCCGGUGCAGGCGUUAGAGCAUUGAAGGGAUCCUCCUUUUGUACGAGAGGACCGAGGAGGACACACCGCUGGUGUACCAGUUCUCAUCCCAUUGGGAAACGCUGGGUAGCCAUGUGUGGUAAUGGAACAUUGUUUAAUUUUUGGAUAACUGCUGAAAGCAUCUAAGUAGGAAGCCAACCCUAAGAUGAGUGCUCUCAUGAGGCCACAGCAAGAACAGCUGGUUAUAGGUGUGAGGUGUAUCCUCUGUAAAGAGAUUAUAGGCCAAGAAUUUUAAUUCUUACCUAGCCAAGACAUACUAAUAGGCCGAUUGCGUUUGAC
rnacentral:rRNA from 1 species